rnacentral:rRNA from 1 species
UACGUAGGGGGGCUAGCGUUGUCCGGAAUCAUUGGGCGUAAAGCGCGUGUAGGCGGUCCGGUAAGUCCGCUGUGAAAGUCGGGGGCUCAACCCUCGAAAGCCGGUGGAUACUGUCGGGCUAGAGUGCGGAAGAGGCGAGUGGAAUUCCUGGUGUAGCGGUGAAAUGCGCAGAUAUCAGGAGGAACACCGGUGGCGAAGGCGGUU